UACAGGAGGGGGCAAGCGUUAUUCGGAAUUAUUGGGCGUAAAGGGCGCGUAGGCGGCCUGACAAGUGGAAGGUGAAAUCCCUCGGCUUAACCGGGGAACUGCGUCUGAUACUGGAUGGCUAGAGGUUGGGAGAGGGAUGCGGAAUUCCAGGUGUAGCGGUGGAAUGCGUAGAGAUCCGGGAAGAACACCGGUGGCGAAGGCGGCUUGC
rnacentral:rRNA from 1 species